AUGUAUUUUGCUUUUACUUUCAGGCCACACUGAAUACUAUAUGGACGAUGUGUGUAUGUUGCAGUUACUAAAAGGCCUUUGCCUUAAACACUUGGGAAGACUCAUGCAAGCUGAACUAUGUUUCAAUCAAGUAAUUCAAGGUGAGAAGCAAAUAAAAUAUGAUAGCUAUUUGGUGCCAUUCACCAUGUAUGAGCUGGGACUUCUAUACAAACAACAGGGUGAGAGAGAAAAAGCUAUAAGAUACAUAGAAACUGCAAA